rnacentral:rRNA from 1 species
CCCCUGGUACAUGCCUCACCCCUUGUAUAUC